CAGCUUGAAGGUGAGGCACAGAACAUCGUAGAAGAAAGUAAAAUUAGUCGAGUUUUCGGGUCGGCCCUGUCACUCACUCACGAUGUCUUCGCUGCUUCCCGGAAAAACGGGUUGAAUAUUCAAAUUAAUUGCGUGGUCA
ensembl:ncRNA C54G7.5 ncRNA